rnacentral:rRNA from 1 species
CACCAAGAAGUUGAGUUAUACAGGGAAUAGUGAAAAGACAGUUAGACGCUGUGUGAUGAGGUUAGUUAAUGUAAUAUGUAGAAGUAAAAUUCAAGUAUAAUUAUAUGAGUCAGGAGUGACUUAAAAGUUGAAUCUGUGAAAUCCUUGAGGGAAACUGGGAUUAGGUACCCCAUUAUUCUUGGGUGUAAAUAGAGUGGGCUUUACUAGAGUACUAUGAACGAUUGUAAAUUUAAAACUCAAAGAACUUGGCGGUGUUUUAGACCAUUUAGGGGAACCUGUCUCAUAAUCGACAAUCCACGUUGUACCUGACCUUUUUUUGUUUUUCAGUUUGUAUACCGUUGUCGUCAGGUAACUUUUUAGAAGAUAGGAGUUGGCCAGAAAAAUAAAGGUAAUUUUAUACGUCAAAUCAAGGUGCAGCUAAUAGAAAGGGGAGGAUGGGUUACAGUUAUAUAUUUAUAAGUACGGAUGGUUAUGUGUAGACGUGAUCUGUGAAGGCGGACUUAAAAGUAAAUUAGAUUAUAAAAAUAAUUUGAAUGAGGCUCUGAAACGUGU